rnacentral:rRNA from 1 species
UACGUAGGUGGCAAGCGUUGUCCGGAUUUAUUGGGUUUAAAGGGUGCGUAGGUGGCUUUGUAAGUCAGUGGUGAAAUCUUAGAGCUUAACUCUAAAACUGCCAUUGAUACUGCUUAGCUUGAAUCAAGUAGAGGUGGAUGGAAUAAUACAUGUAGCGGUGAAAUGCUUAGAUAUGUAUUAGAACACCGAUUGCGAAGGCAGUUCACUAUGCUUGUAUUGACACUGAGGCACGAAAGCGUGGGGAUCAAACAGG